UACGUAGGUGACUAGCGUUGUCCGGAUUUACUGGGCGUAAAGAGCGCGCAGGCGGUCGUUCAAGUCGAGUGUGAAAGCCCCCGGCUCAACUGGGGAGGGUCAUUCGAUACUGAUCGACUCGAAGGCAGGAGAGGGAAGCGGAAUUCCCGGUGUAGUGGUGAAAUGCGUAGAUAUCGGGAGGAACACCAGUGGCGAAGGCGGCUUCCUGGCCUGUUCUUGACGCUGAGGCGCGAAAGCUAGGGGAGCGAACGGG
rnacentral:rRNA from 1 species